AGAUUUGGACGAUAAUCAACUUGUUCACCUACCUGACGGGCUGUUCAAAGCCACAACCAAAUUACAAAAACUAAAUUUGGCCUAUAAUCAACUUGUUCACCUACCUGACGGGCUGUUCCAAGCAACAACCAAAUUAGAAGAACUAGAUUUGUUGGAGAAUAAACUUGUUGACCUACCUGCCGGGCUGUUUGACGCGACAACCGAAUUGAGAAACCU